UUAGAAAAUUGUUUCAAGAAACAAUAAAGAAGCCGUCACAAACGAAGCCUAAGCUGUUUGUCAAACCCCAGCAACUAACAUGACCUUAAUGUGGUGGUUCAUGUUUGCUAUCAGUGUCCUUAGUGCAAAUCUGGCUUAAUUGUUUUAUAGCUAAACGUUAUUUCUCUCCAUAAACCAUAACGUCAACAUUAUUCAAAAUUUUUCUGAUGUUCUAUUUCUUAUGCAAAAAAGAAAGAGAAAAGAAGCAGGUAACAGGUGAUUUUUCUGAAGCAUUUUGUUUUGGAUGGUUCAUGACAGCACAUGAUGAUGAGAAGGGCUCUCUUCAAUCAACAUUCUCAUUUGGGGAGGUGUUUGAGAUUAUUUGAUUUUUUAUUUUUUUGUUAUUUCUGAAUUUUUUUAUGAUGGGCAGUUGAAGCAAUAAAUAUUUGGAGGAUUUAUUA